GGUUUGUGGCUCAGGGGUAGAGCACUCGCCUGGCAUGUGUGAGGCACUGGGUUCGCUCCUUAGCACCA
rnacentral:tRNA from 1 species